GACGAACGCUGGCGGUGUGCUUAACACAUGCAAGUGGUGCGACGAACCAGAGCUUGCUCUGGGGCCAAGCCGCGAACGGGUGAGUAACACGUGGGUAAUCUGCCCCAAUGACCGGGACAACCCGAGGAAACUCGGGCUAAUACCGGAUGUGGCAUGUCGGCUCAAGCCGACCUGUCAAAGGUAGCUUCGGCUUCCGCAUUGGGAGGGGCCCGCGGCCCAUUAGCUUGUUGGUGGGGUCAAGGCCUACCAA
rnacentral:rRNA from 1 species